rnacentral:rRNA from 1 species
UGGGGAAUAUUGGACAAUGGGCGAAAGCCUGAUCCAGCCAUGCCGCGUGUGUGAAGAAGGUCUUCGGAUUGUAAAGCACUUUAAGUUGGGAGGAAGGGUUGUAGAUUAAUACUCUGCAAUUUUGACGUUACCGACAGAAUAAGCACCGGCUAACUCUGUGCCAGCAGCCGCGGUAAUACAGAGGGUGCAAGCGUUAAUCGGAAUUACUGGGCGUAAAGCGCGCGUAGGUGGUUUGUUAAGUUGGAUGUGAAAUCCCCGGGCUCAACCUGGGAACUGCAUUCAAAACUGACUGACUAGAGUAUGGUAGAGGGUGGUGGAAUUUCCUGUGUAGCGGUGAAAUGCGUAGAUAUAGGAAGGAACACCAGUGGCGAAGGCGACCACCUGGACUAAUACUGACACUGAGGUGCGAAAGCGUGGGGAGCAAACAAG